ensembl:lncRNA
GUUGUAAAGACGAAUGCAGGAGCGUUGACCUUUUAUGCAUAAAAUACCUGCUGUUUUGUUCAGCCAAAAUGUACACAUAACUGCAUUGGAGGAGACGGAACGAACUUUCAGACAGCAAUACAUCAAACUGAUGGGAUCGUGUUUGGACCUUCAUCCCAUUGGCCACCAUUGCAGUCCAUUAUAUGGAGAAAAAUCCUGGAAUGUUUUCCUCAAAAACCUUAAUUUCUUUGCGACUGAAGAUAGAAAGACAUGAACAUGAGAGGUAUUAUUCCAGCAUUAAAGAUGCUGGAUGAUGUGUUUUGCACCAAAGUCGAAUACUUAUUGUUAGGGGUUUGUUUAAAUCCGUAAGUAUAGCAAUAGUGAUGUUUGUCAUGUGUGUGUUAGUUACUGAGCAGUUUACCGGAACCAUAAUCAUGAUCUUUACUCAUUCAUUCACUAAAGCGUGUGUGUUUGUAUGUCCACCCACAUCUCUUUUCUCUGUCACACAAUCAUUUCCCAUCCUCAUUGAUUUAUUAGUGAUCUCAACAAUUCAAACAAGUGAGUAAACCAAUUCUUUGGGCCCCUCAACCGGUUUACCACCAAUUAAGGAAGUCAACGCUGUUAGUCAUAUUUAUCUUUUUUAGCAUGAGUGCACAUGUGUGGUCGUCACAUCAAGUGUAAGAAAACCGUUGGCAAAUAACUAAUGAAAAAGCAUAUAAUCAGGGCAAUAAAAUUCAUUUAGAAUAGGACUUUAUUACAUCACGCUGACGCUUUGUGAUCAAUGAUUUUGGGGAUACAAAAAGGCUGGGAGUAAAAAUCAGACUAGAAGCACUGGACGACUGCUAAAGUGCUACGAGAACAUCAAACUGAGGGUGAGUUAUGUUUCUGAACACGCUUCUGUCACACAUUUGAUUGCCAGGAAAAAUGGUUCGUCUUUCACAACUAAAAGUUCUCAUUUUCAUCUUUUUAAGGUGUGGAAAUGUCUGUUCUCACAAGUCUGACGCAAGUGUCCAUCCUUGCGAUAUUUCUCAUCCAGUGUGCGACCAGCCUUCCGGUUCUGGGCAGGUAUCUUGGAGAAGAGGACAGCAUCUCAACAGCGGACACCUUUUCUCCCAGAAAGAUGUUGUUUCCUAGAGAUGAUGCAGAUAUGCUUUUUGAUGACCGAGACAGGAGAUCUGGGCUUCAGACGAGGCAGUUGGGUGACAUUGAGUUCACAAACAGAUAUGCUGAACUUCUGAAAUCCAAAGCUAAAAUCACAUCCAUCUGCGCCCUCCUGAAACGCAUGCAAAGCAGCAAGAAAAGCGGCGUCGGUGGAGAAACAGACAGACUGAUUUCCCUGAUGAGACUGUAUUCAUGUCCAAACGUGUACCAGUGAAGACUGUGACUUCAUGUCCAAGAAACCUGCAUGAAGACAACAACUUCACAAUGUCUGAAUCAGUUUUAACAUGUUUGAGACAAACUGUUUGUAUAUAUUUGAAUCUAAUUGAGUCUCAUAAAACUGCAGAUUCAGUAGCAUCUCAGAUGCAAAAUAAACUCUGGACUUAAGAAUAGCGUCUUGUCUUU